AGGUGCGAUCAUACCAGCACUAAUGCACCGGAUCCCAUCAGAACUCCGUAGUUAAGCGUGCUUAGGCGAGAGUAGUACUAGGAUGGGUGACCUCCUGGGAAGUCCUUGUGUUGCACCUC
rnacentral:rRNA from 1 species